rnacentral:lncRNA from 1 species
GGGCAAACAAAAAGUGACGAGCAACAAGGCUUGGCCGAUGAUGCUGGUGUGGAGUCUGCUGCAACAACUGGACCGAUUAAGCACACCAAUGAAGAUGACACGAAGGCUCCUUACUCGGUACGGUCCAACUUUUUCAUACAUGCCUGCUCAUGAAAUAAGUGAAACAAGGUGCAUACAAUUAAGGACACCACAAUUAUCUCUAUGAAUAAUCAAUAGUGUGGAGUUACUCACAAUAAUCUAUGCAGCAUUUCUUAGCUAGAUUUCUUAGAAGGAUUUCAGGCUAUUUUGCUCAUAUUUUAGAAAACUGAUCAUGUGUGAUGGCCCAUCUGUCUUGCAAAAUAGACUUGAACUGGUCACGUCAGUUCCAAUCUGCAUCUCUUUUCAUCUUGUAGGUUACCACGCGGAUGCUCUUUGGACUACGAUAUGGACAUGAAGGCAUUUGUUUUAGUGCCAAAUAUUACUUACUAAUGCCCGC